UCCGAGUUGACCCCGGCAGUCUCCUGCGAGUCCCCGCCAUUACGCGCUGGCAACACGGGACAAGGGUUGCGCUCGUUGCGGGACUUAACCCAACAUCUCACGACACGAGCUGACGACAGCCAUGCACCACCUGUAUACCGACCACAAGGGGGGCCGUAUCUCUACGGCUUUCCGGUAUAUGUCAAACCCAGGUAAGGUGGGGAUGACGUCAGUGCUUGCCU
rnacentral:misc_RNA from 1 species